GUUCAGUAUAGUAAAAUCUACAAACACAUCACCAUCAUCAAAACACAAUUUUGUCAUGAAUUCAUCUAUGUCCUUUGUUUAAUACAUGUAUGCACAUAGACCAAGGUGAGCGACACAGGCUCUUAAGAGUCUCUAGUUAAUCAAAAUACUUCCUUUAAAUUAUUAGUGUUAGUAUUACUUAAAAUGCAGAAGUAUUUCGGAUCU
rnacentral:lncRNA from 1 species